rnacentral:rRNA from 1 species
AUAAAUAGUAAAAUUAUUACCUAAUUAGUAUUAGUUAUGUUCUUGAAAAUUAACAAAUUUGGCGGUAUUUUAGUCAGUUCAGAGGAACCUGUCCUGUAAUUGAUAUCCCACGAUAAGUUUUACUUUGUCUUUAAGUUUGUAUAUCGUUGUUUAGAAUUUUUUUAUAGAAUUAUAAUUUUCAAUUAUUACAAUGAUAAUUUAAAUCAAAUCAAGGUGCAGCUUAUGAUAAUGAAGAGAUGGGUUACAUUAUAUUUAUUUUUGGAUUAUAAAUUUAAAUUUUUUUAUGAAAAUGGAUUUGAUAGUAAUUUUUAAUAUUUAUUGAAAAUGAUUUUUGCUCUAAGAUAUGU